GGGGAUAUAGCUCAAUAGGGAGAGCACUGCGUUCGCAUCGCAGGGGUCGGGGGUUCGAAUCCCCCUAUCUCCA
rnacentral:tRNA from 1 species